rnacentral:ncRNA from 1 species
GGAGACUACAGGACAGUAUCCUGGGAGUAUCCCCCGGCUGUUAUCUCGGAACAAAUGCCGCGUGGAGGUAGAAGGCCCACGGGUCGUGAACUUCUUUUCCCGGAGAGAAGCAAUGCGGUAUCUGGGGAAUAGCAUCGGCUAACUCUGUGCCAGCAGCCG